rnacentral:ribozyme from 1 species
AGCAAUACCGCACUGAUAUGGGUAUGGAUCCAAAACCUCUCGAAAGAUAAUGUAGGCAUUCCACAUCCUACUCCGACUCAAUACGUCCACGGCGAACAGAACGGUGAUUUAUCUCCCCAAAUAUCUCAGCUUGGCUAUACGGGGAAACUCAACCCCUUGGGCAGAUGGUUAAUAUGAGUAAAUUAUGCGUA